UAAGGCCUCAUUGCUCUUCUUCUAUGGUGCCGGGCAGCCUUAUAAAUGCCGUCGCGUUCUUAAAGACAGUCUGUCAUGUUAUAAUGGCACGGUGGAAAAGUGGUAUCAGAACACAGAAGAAUGAGAACUGGCCACAAGAAGGUGGCUGAAUAUGAUCGAACUUCAAACGCAAAAAUCCACAACUACCAUCAUUGGCACGUGAUGUCACACAAUAUCCCAAAGUACACUGAACAAAAUUGGCAGUUGUGAGAAAUGCAGCUGUAAAGCAUCUCAGGACUUGUGGAACCUUGUCUUUGAUGGAAAUGAGCAAGGAGUUGAAGGGUCCAUUGAUGUCAUUGUAUCGGAGGAAGGAUGUCCGAGUAGCUUUCAAUUGGAGACCGUUCUUGCGGUGUGUUUCAAUACGUUUUCAUGAUGCUGUAAACCUUUUAAAAUGUGGUGUUGGUUGAGUUAACUAGUGGUUUUAUCUUUCUGUACACUUGCAUAAUGUAUAUUGAUUGCUUGUUUAAAAACUCUCAAAGACUACUAGGGGGUAUACUGGAACUCUACUAAAUGUAAAGUGGGUUUUGUUGUGUGUGUUUGGUAUUUAUACAGAGCACCAUGUAUGAACCUUAACUGGAGCACGAUAUGUGUGAAAUGUAAGUGUGUCUCACAUGGAUAUUUAAUAUAACAUUUCUAAAUAAAAGGAACUUUCACUUUGCUUCUCUUUUGA